AAGGCCCGUGAGAUGGGCUAGGACGAGUCAGGCAAGUGAUUCUAUCUCAUGCAGCUGUGCGCUCCCUUUCUUUGCUUCGAGAUGGUCACAUAACUGAGUGGAGAUUUGCUGCCUGCUACUGCUAGCGUGUGAUGGUGCAGGUUUGUCUUUCGUUUAUUACUAUAUCCCUUUCCUAUUCCCGUCCUUGUAAUGUAAGUUUGUUCUGAGAUGGGCAUGAGGUAGAGAGACUGAUGUGAUAUUUGAUUAGACUGUCGAUUUGUGCCAAGUUGGUGUGUUUAUAUUAUCUGAAGUUGUUUUGGUGUGAGUUUUAAUUCAACUCGACCGGUGCGUCAUAAAUUUGUGGCAAAUAAGAUGAAUUUCGUUAUGGCCGGUCACUGAAUUAGACAUGUUGGUUGUUUGUUUCCAGGUAUUUUGAUGCUGUUAUUGGCCAGAAUCAUAUAAUCUGCACCAUUCUAUUUUAUAGGAUGAACCCAUGUAAUCAUCAGGGUGUCAUGCUCGGCGCAAUACAGUGUUCCCAGGUCUUCUUGCUUUUUACAGAGAAGAAUCAAUGGCUGCUCCUGACGUUGAGUGUGGAGUUAUUAGAACCUUGCACCAACUUAAUCACUUCAACAAAGGUUCUCUGUAGAAAAGUGAUCAGCCGUCUGGAAGAGAGAGAUAGAAAUGUAAGGAUGCUAAUGGACUAAUGGUCGGUUGCACUGCAUGCCGGAGCUGUUUCAUGCGAUCUCAUUGCAGACCGUGCCAUCAUAUGAGAAGGAUUGCUGGUCUUUUGGGGGCUUCUUCGUUUCAGUUGAGACAUCGACUUUGCUUCGCUGCCUUCUUGGGAAGGGAGCAUGAGGGAAGGGGAGGCUAUCCUCUCUUGGACUUUUGUACCCCCUACUGUUGGAUUUCUGUACCCCCUACUAUUGGAUUACUGUAUCUCUUGAUGUGGAAAUGUUAUCCAGCUCUAAUUGUAUUUAUGCUACUGUUGAUGCAUAUAUGACUCAUUCUCUAAAAACAUAUUCUGAUACAUCUUUUUUGGCAUAACGUGCUAUAGUUUUUCCUACUAAUAAUGUGGUCAUGCUAUGAAUUUAUGAUGUGGUUUUCUCUACAACUCUUGGGGGUGCAAGUGAAUUUGGAAGUUUUGAUAUUAUUUGCAAGAAAAUGGACCAUGUGGUUGAUGCAUAUUUAUUGUCUCUUUCAGAUUUUGGCAUAAUGUGGAUGGAUCAUAACAACUUCCCGUGUCAUAAGAUCUCUUUGAAGAUUGGUUCUCUGAAAAUUAUAUUGACAAAUAUUGAUCAAACAAUUGGACUAUACAAUGGUACCUUUCUUAAGGCUCUAGGCGAAUGGGUCAUAUAAUAAGCCAAGAUCAUGACUGCAAGUAACAAAGUUUCUAUUUGAUGACUCUUCGCAAAAGACAAGCCCAAAUGUUUGAGAAGAUUGUUUUUUAGUCGCCAAAGCCUCCAUUUUCUCAAGGGCAGACCAAUGUUGCAGCCUCGAGAGUAACAUUAAGGAAAAGCUUGAAGAUACUUUCAGUAGAUGAAACUGGUGCACCAUCUAUAGACACAAGGAACACAUCAUAUCUAGAAGACACUCUAUGGAUUCUAGCUCAAACCUACUGGUUUGGUUGUUCCUCGCACCAACCUGGUUGUGUAGUAUUGGUUAGGGUGAUAGAGAGUCCAGCUGGAGGUCUUCUCGGCUUUGUCGAGGAGCCCAAACAAGGAUUUAAG